CGUUGGCUGCCUCCGAGAGCGGCCUGAUUGGCUGCCGGGCUCCGCCGUUUAAAAGAACCUCCUCGCCCCGCCAUUGGAAGGGACGCUCAUGAAUAUGAAUCACGGCCGGGCGCCGAUUGGCCGGCGCCGGCCCAGGUCAUUCAUUCAAAAGAACACCCGCCUGGGGAAGGGGAGCCGGGCGCUGGGGGAAAGUUUGCAGCGUGAGCGAGGGUGGGCUGCGGCUGCUGGCCGGGCCAGUCUCCGGGCCCACGCUUCUGCCUCGGCCACAUCUGCGGGACUAUGGGCUCUACUCCGCUCUCCUGGGCGCCUGGCCCCGCUCCGCUCACCCGGCCCCUGUCCACACGUCCAGGGGCUGUUUAAAGCGUGCUCCCACCCGCCGGGCAGUCCUGCUUUCGGGGCAGGUGUCAAACGCCAGCCGCAGGCUCAGGGCAGUGCCAGGCAGCGAAAAAGCCGGAGCUGGGGGUUAAUCCGAUCCUCAGAGAACUAAGGGGAAACCCAGCGUGGUUUCAAAUAAAUAAUACUCACGUUGUGUGCUAAGGAUCACUGACUCCAUUCACUUCACAGAAGACAUGCCCUUAAUGAGUCUGCUCCCCUCCCUGCACAAAGUCUGAGAUCGCUACGUUCGAGGGGAAUCGAUAUGGAGCGGAUCAAAAGGGGGGGGGAGGGUCUGGAAAGACAAGAUUGCAGAGGCAAAACUCCAUGCCACAGGAAAAGGGGCUUUUCGUUGCAGUGAGAUCUUUACCCGCCACUGGGAUGAGUGAAAUACAGCAACUGGCCAGAACAGGCUGGGAGUAAUAUGGAAGCAGUAUGAGGAGGCCUUGCUGGGAGGGCACAACUAACUUCUCUGACAUGACCUCUAUAGCCAACCAAGGAGCAGCACUGAUAAAUCUCCAAAGAGCCCAUCCCAUACCAAGGAAAGUCACCACCAGGGAAGAAUCAGAGGCAAGCAAGUUUGUCCUAAAGACCCUGGGAAAACUUUAACAGCAGGUGUUUGGCACAAGUUUUCAAACAAAGCAGCAGAUGACAAUAAAAUUGCAACCACUCUCCUUUCCUUGUAGUUUUGAAAUCCCAAGGUAAGGACCACAAUGCUGUGCAGUGCUGCCAACAGAUCAGAAGGCACAGACGACCCAAAGUCGCCUAGUUCUGCUAGUCAUGUGGCCCCCAGAGAGUUUAGUACUGCUAGUACCACCCAUGGGCCCCUUUACCCUUCACAAGAACGGACUGCCUGGUCAAUGGAGAAGAAGAAUUAACUCAUUGGAGGAGAAAGAAUACACAAUGUUAUUUGCAUAUUUAAGCAGGUCAGGCUGCAGGUCACAUCUAUGUUUUCAGACAGACCCCAAAGCUGGUCUUCUCUCUCCCUUUUCCUUUCUCCUUUUCCUCACUGACACAUCCCUGACAGUGUUGCUGUUUGCUCAGCUCUCUAUUAACACUCCAUCAGACCCUCUUUUGUCACGGGAGUCCUGCUGCUGUCACACUCCCUGCAAAUGCCCAGUUCCAACUGUUCUCCAAAUUGUCACAGAUGCUUCUGGUUCCAAUAUUUGCCCCUCUCCCUGACCCCAGAACUUUCUGCCUGACUAUAAGGGGAGCUUAAAGAGGCUCUGUGCAUGGCACUUUGCAGCCAUCAAUA